CAGAAAGACACUACUGAUACCUGCAGAAAAUUUAGACCAUCUUGGGUUGGGAAGGGAAUCCUUUGCUCCUUAAGGGUUUAGUUCUGCACUCAAUAACAGCGAAAAAGGUAGCAUAAAUUUUCAUUCUCCGUGCCUCCACAGCCUCACCUGGGGAUGGGGUUCUCUCAGGAGACAAAAACAGCAACCCACCAAGACUGUGGAGGCCUCAAUAUGGGAACACAAACAGCAAAAGCAGGUAAGUGGGAGAGAGGCAACUGGCUGGAGGAGGGUGGGAGGGUAGGACUGGUCCCUUGGUAUUUAUUUUUAAUUAUCAUCAUUAUUAUUUUAAUCCACCCUUCACCCUAAGGUCCUAUUGCAUGUUACAAUUAAAACACAACACAGUUUUAUUAUUAUUUAUUUAUUAAAUUUGAAUACAGCCCUUCGUCCAAAGAUCACAGGGUGGUUCACAACAUAAAAAUAAAAAAUGAGGAACACAAAAUACACCACCAAACCAACUGAUAUCCCCCCCCACAGACACAUUUAUAAUGCAAUAGUAUGGUCAGCCAGUCAAAGGCCUGGUUAUAGAGAAAUGUUCUUGCCUUUUCUGCAUUUUGGCUAAGCUUUGGCAUGAGCAUGUCAAGUUACUAUUCUGGGAAUAGUACACCCUAAGUGUACACGACCCCUUCUACAUAUAAGUGUACAUGACCCCUUUUACAUAUCACAAUAUGGAUCCUUUGUCAUAAGUGGAUGCAUGCUUUCAAGAUCUGAAUAAGAGGGCAGUUGUUUAAAACAUUAGUGUUCUCAUAGUUCCCAAGCCAGAUUCCACAAUCCACGCCUAGAAAGAAACACAAAUCAUUCCAGAGUUUUAAAAGCAAGGCCACUCCUAUCUGAUAGGAAGAUCUGCCCUUGAAAAUACAAGAAUCUGCAUGCCAAGAGGAGAACAUUUUCAAGAACUUACAUAAGGAACUCCACCUCUGCCUGUUCCAAGCUCCAAUCAAGAUCAGUAGAAAGUGUUUUGAACUAAACUAUACUGUCAAAAGAAAAACACUCCUUUCGCCUCCCCCUUCAAUUGCAUGAAUUCAGAUGUUCACUUACCAAUACUUCCAGAACAGUUCUAAAGAAUGUAAUUGGGAGUAGAAAACAGAAAGAGAUACAGUGGGUUUGGGAAGGAUUUUAAUAGGAUUUUAUAAAGCUUAGUUCUAACAAAAGUAUGGACUUUAAUAGAUUGCUUUUUAAAAAUAAAAGAAUUCUCUCGCAGGGAAAAUCCUAUUCAAAUACAAAUUGCUUCAUUGAUUG